CUGCUGCCUCCCGUAGGAGUCUGGGCCGUGUCUCAGUCCCAGUGUGGCCGGCCACCCUCUCAGGCCGGCUACCCAUCGUCGCCUUGGUAGGCCAUUACCCUACCAACUAGCUAAUGAGACGCGAGUCCAUCUUUCAGCGUCAGGUCUCCCCAACUUUUCCUAUAUAAACAUGCACUUAUAUAACUCAUCCGGCAUUAGCUCACCUUUCGGUAAGUUGUUCCAGUCUAAAAGGCAGGUCACUCACGUGUUACU
rnacentral:rRNA from 1 species